UUAAAGUAAUAUUUAUUGAAUAAAAAGAACUUAGUCUUAAAAUUAAAAUCUUGAAAAUUUUAAAUAUAUUAAAAAUAAUUGGGAUUUAUAGAUAGGGAGAGAAAUGAAUUAGAUGUAUUGAAUUAAAUUUCAGGUCAGAGAACAUAUUUCUGCAGUUUUGCAAAUGUUUUUCUCUGUUUUUGUUCCUGUAAAUCACUCGUAUAUAAAGGUGCAAUUUUAGAUAUAAAAAGAUACAUUCAAAAAGAAUCAUUUUAUGGAUAAAAAUUAAGAGUUAAAUUUGGUAAAAUAUUUGAUAUUUUAUGAAUUAUGCAAUAUUUCACAAAUAUAUGUAUGUACAAAUAUUUGUAUAUACAAAUUAUAUGAACAUAUAAAUAUACAUAUCUUUCAUAAAUAUUAUAGCUAAGUUUGAAACGAGCUUCAAUAAUCGACAAUCGAUGUGUAGCAGUAAUCAUCAAAAACUUUACCGUACGUUCUAAAAGAAAAAAAAUAUCAAAGUAUAUAUAACAAUUAUCUUGUUUUUCAACAUAAUUCAUACUUCACUUUAUACAAGUUAUAAAUACAAGUUUACUUUAUACAAGUUAUAAAAUUAAAAGAAAAAAUAUAGAAAAUGAAAGAUUAAUAAUACAGAUUAAUUCAAUAAUAUUGAGAUGUUUAAUGAUCAUUUUCAUUAUCGAAAAACUCUCGAAUUAAAAGUACCUGAAGUUAUCUGAUUAAACGUACGCGCCAAAACUGUUCGUGACACGCGUUUGUUGUAUUUUAUUCAGCGAUUCUUGUCGCGAUGAAGUGUGCAAUGAAAAAUGACGAGGUGAUUCGAAAAUACGAGUGCUCCGAGUUAAUAUUAUUGAUUCAUAGAUAGAAUUCGUUCGUGUUAGAUGUUUUAAGAAUUAAGUUAAAUUGUAAGAGAUAAAAUAGUACUCUAAAUUAAUAAUGAGUACCACGAACAAAUUCCAUUGUUGAUUAUGUUUCUCGUUACGUGCUAUAUCAUAUGAUAUUGGUGCAAUAAUUUCUUUUAUUUUUUUGUUUUUUGUUGUGAUGUGUGCAAUAGAAAUAAAAAAGCUAAUUUCCCAUAUUAAAAAAAUAUAAGUGUAAAUAAAAUAUCACUUGGUCGUUUUCCAUGGGCAUCUAAUGAUCCAGCAACCAUCAUGCCUACAGCUGGUGGAAAACGUAAAGUGACACCAGGCUGAAGAAUCAAUUUUCCACCUGGUCGUACAUUGAUAUCUCGUUCGACAAUGUAUUCACCAGAACUUAAUAACUCAAGACCAUCAACUUCACCACCAACUAAAUUUGUACCAGGCGUCAAGAAUCGUGGUACAAAUGUUGGAUUUGAAAUAAUUGUAUUGGCCCCUGGAUUACUACUAUGUAAUAAGUACGGCAAAUAUUCAAUUUUAGCAAGAUUGUAUCUGUCUUUUCUGAAAUGGAAUAGCAUAUUAAAAACUUAGCUUAUUAAAACUAAGUUUUUAUAAAUAAAUGAAAAAAAAAAAUAUAUAAACCUAUGAAAUAAUCUCUCAAAUAUUUUAUUCUCUUCAGCAAAUCCAAGCCAAUUAUAAGUACAAUUAAUAAUUUUACUUUGAUCUUCUAAAUGCGAGCCAAUUUCAUAUCGUGAUUCAGGAUUAUGUAAAAUAUUACGAAAAAUUUCGACAUUGCUUGAUGAAACAACAACUGCAGCUGCAACCCUGGAA